GGCCCCAUCGUCUAGCCUGGCCUAGGACACCAGAUUUUCAUUCUGAUAACAGGGGUUCGAAUCCCCUUGGGGUCAACA
rnacentral:tRNA from 1 species